rnacentral:rRNA from 1 species
GACGAACGCUGGCGGCGUGCCUAAUACAUGCAAGUUGAGCGCUGAAGGCUGGUACUUGUACCAACUGGUUGAGCAGCGAACGGGUGAGUAACGCGUGGGGAAUCUGACUUUCAGCGGGGGACACUAUUUGGAAACAAUUGCUAAUACCCAAUAAAAACUUGAAACACAAUUUUUAAGUUUGAAAGUUGCAAUUUCAUAAGUUAAAGAUGAUCCCGGGUUGUAUUAGCUAGUUGGUGAGGUAAAGGCUAACGAAGACGAUGAAACGUAGCCGACCUGAGAGGGGGAUAGGCAAAACUGGGAUGGGGACACGGCCCGAACUCCUGCGAGAGGCAGCCGUACGGAAUCUUCAGGAAUGGAAGAAAGGCUGAACGAGGGACGCCGCGCGAGUGAAGGAGGUUGUCAGGUCGUAAGACUCUGUUGGUCGAGAGGAUCGUUAGUCAGAGUUGAAAGCGCAUAAAGUGACGGUAACUACACAGAAAGGGACGGCUAACUACGUG